rnacentral:lncRNA from 1 species
CUCCCAAUCAAGUAUCACUAGAAAAUAUAGUGAUUUGCCGGACUUUAUUGAAUAAAAAAUAAGCUUCAAUAUCCUAGAAUUUAAAAGAAAAUUAAAGGAUUUUGAACUAAUAAAUAAGACUAAAAAUCUCAAAGUUUUCAACUUUUUCAGGUUGUUCACCGCCUAAACCCCCACUCUGUAACCCAACUACUCUCAUCCCAUUCGAAAUUUUUUGCACCCCCCUAAAGCAAAAUCUAAAAAUCCAUCUCUGGAGGGAUUAUAGUGUCACAGUGUGUUAACAAAACUUUACCAAUUAUUCCAUAUCCAUCUAAAAUUUCAAAUUGAUUUUUUGGGUAGGUGCUGUUUUGUUUUUAUCAUGAUAAAACAUAAUUUUCACCAAUCUUACAAUAAGGUAUGUCACACUGGAUAUUUGCAAGGUGAGCAGGUGGUUUAGAUGAAAAAUGUCAAUUUGGCACUUUUUGUGUGGCAACUUGAAUAGCAGAUUGCAUUUAUUUUUCACACAGGAGGGGUUGAGGAUAUCUUUUUACCAGCUAAAUUGUGACCCCCUGGAAUAAAGUUUAUAUACCCCCUUCUCUGGAAUUUCCUAGGAAUUCAUUGCCAGAUACCCCUGGAAAAUGGCUUUACAGUUGAUUUCACAUAACUUUUCCGUGAAUGUUGCGAACUUCGUUCCGAACUUCGUUGUGAAGUUCAAAAGUUCAUACUGAAAUUCACAAGCCGGUUAGUAAACAAAGCCUCUAAUUGGCUUAUUUUUGUUAAGGGACCAAUCAGAGGCUUUGUUUACAAACCGGCUUGCGAAUUUCAGUAUGAACUUUUGAACUUCACAACGAAGUUCGGAAUGAAGUUCACAACAUUCACGGAAAAGUUAUGUGAAAUCAACUGUAAUCACAGACCAUCCCCUGGAUUUGUCCCCGGUCUUUUUCACCCGCGCCCUCCCGCUGGAUUUUCCAGGCCCUUUUUACACCCCUCCCCUGGAUUUUCCAGUGUCCUCAAACCCCCCCUCCCUGUGCGGAUAAUAAAUGCAAUCUUCCAAUAUGGAUCAGGAUACAGCCCCCAACAUAUGACCAAACAAUAGAAUAGUUGAAGGUAAUAAAUAUCAAAGUAGCUAUUCGUACUGGAAAAUAGCACCCGAUUCUUACAUUACGUAAAGUAGUAAUAUAAAACAGUUUUUUGCAACAGCUUUUAGCGAGCUUGCUGCUAGCGCAGUCGGUAAAGGCGCUGCGUGCGUGCAAAGUGAAACGAGGUUUGGUCCGGGUUUAGUUUUAGCCGUCGGUUUUCUGUUGACUUAAAAAUUUUUCUUAAAAUAUUUUUAAUUUUUCCGCCCCACUUUUUAACUCUCAAAUAGUUUAUUAGACCUUUAUUGGUUAGGGUUAGAGAAGGGGUUGGGGUCAGGUUUAUCUUAAAUAUUACGACUGCAGUACGAAUAGCAAAUCGAAGUUAUCAAACUCAGCAUACUGUUCCAGUACGAAUAGCCACGGCAAAUAAAUAUAUUCUGAAAAAUAAGAUCUUGGUUACCAGUUGCCCUUAAAUUGGCAAACAAGCCUGUGGUCUGUACAAUAUUGAUUAUCAAGGUCUUAUAUUAGUUUCAUGAACAUCCAAGCUGCAGUUCACAAGCAUGUGGCCUGACAAUGAGAACAAACCUACCUAAUAAAUUCAACAUUACAGUAGGAUGUUGAAUAGCACAAAUUUAAGGCAGCUCAUUCUUAAAAGAAUAUGUUCAUAUUUGUGAGAUACAAAAAAGAUUUAAAGAGAAAUAUUAUUAACUCAAA